GUACUACUCUCAGAGUUUGAUCCUGGCUCAGGAUGAACGCUGGCGGCGUGCAUAACACAUUCAAGUCGAACGGAGUUUGUUGAAUUAAUCCUUCGGGAAGCGUUUAAUGAACUUAGUGGCGGACGGGUGAGUAACGCGUGAGCAACCUGCCUCUGUAAGUGGAAUAACGUCUGGAAACGGACGCUAAUACCGCAUAACACAUAGUGAUCGCAUGGUUAUUAUGUCAAAGAUUUAUCGUACAGAGAUGGGCUCGCGUCCCAUUAGGUAGUUGGUGAGGUAACGGCCCACCAAGCCGACGAUGGGUAGCCGGACUGAGAGGUUGAACGGCCGCAUUGGAACUGAGAUACGGUCCAG
rnacentral:rRNA from 1 species